rnacentral:tRNA from 1 species
AUCUAAAUAGCUUAAAUAAGAGUGUAAUAUUGAAGAUAUUAAGGUAGUAUAAACUUUUAGAUA